UACGUAGGGGGCAAGCGUUGUCCGGAAUCAUUGGGCGUAAAGAGCGUGUAGGCGGCCAGAUAAGUCCGCUGUGAAAUCUCGGGGCUCAACUUCGAGCUGUCGGUGGAAACUGUCUGGCUAGAGUCCGGAAGAGGAGAAUGGAAUUCCUGGUGUAGCGGUGAAAUGCGCAGAUAUCAGGAGGAACACCGGUGGCGAAGGCGGUUCUCUGGGCAUGUCCUGACGCUGAGGAGCGAAAGUGUGGGGAGCGAACAGG
rnacentral:rRNA from 1 species